AGGGGGGGUACCAGGGAUUAAAUUCAGGGGCACUGGACCACUGAGCCACAUGCCCAGCCCUAUUUUGUAUUUUAUUUAGAGACAGGUCACACUGAAUUGCUUAGCACCUCAUGCCUUGAACUCUAGAUCUUCUUUUCUCACCACCCAGAGCCACUGGAAUUACAGGCAUGAUGAAGUCCUCUAUUUUUCUACAUUACUUUUAUCAUCAAUGUUAUGGAAACAUUAAUAACAAUGGUUGUUAUAAAUUGUUGGACAUUUAUUCCAUGACAACAAACCUAUAUAGAGAUUUCAGUUAUCUAAACCAGUGCUGUCCCAUGAAUGUUCUGUAAUAAUGGAAAUGUUUUAGAUCUAUGCUGUUUUGUAUAGUAACCUAUGGCCACUGGGCCUUGAAAUGUGCCAAGUAUUGAAAUCUUGAUUUAAUUAUUUUUAAUUGAUUUAAAUUUAUGUACUCAUAUGUAACUUGUGGGUGUGUUUUGAAUAGCACAGAACCAGAUGUUGAGAAUAACCUUAAUCACUAAAAAAUUUAAUUGAACAGACUCAAGACUAAUAUAAAUUGGUCAACUCUGUUACAUGGUUCCCCUGGGAAAAUUACUUAAAGUGUUUUCAGUCUAAACUUUCUGAUUUAAAAUGUUAUAGUAGCUCUUUCCUGUAUGGUAGGCAUAUAUGUUGCAAUAAUAAAUAUAAUAUCAUUUGUAAGUUAUUUGUAUAGUAGGAACAUACAUUGCAAUAAUAAAUGUGAAAAUAUUUUUAAACUAUUUGUAAGGAAAGUGC
rnacentral:lncRNA from 1 species